AUUGAACGCUGGCGGCAUGCCUUACACAUGCAAGUCGAACGGUAACAGGUCUUCGGAUGCUGACGAGUGGCGAACGGGUGAGUAAUACAUCGGAACGUGCCUAGUAGUGGGGGAUAACUACUCGAAAGAGUGGCUAAUACCGCAUGAGAUCUACGGAUGAAAGCAGGGGAUCGCAAGACCUUGUGCUACUAGAGCGGCCGAUGGCAGAUUAGGUAGUUGGUGGGAUAAAAGCUUACCAAGCCGACGAUCUGUAGCUGGUCUGAGAGGACGAUCAGCCAAACUGGGAGUGAGACACGGCCGAGACUCCUACGGGAGGCAGCAGUGGGGAAUUGUUCACAAUGGGCGCAAGCCUGAUGACGCAACGCCGCGUGGGGGAUGAAGGUCUUCGGAUCGUAAACCCCUGUCGAACGGGACGAAAGACUCUGGAGCUAAUCAUCCGGAGAGUGACGGUACCGUUAAAGGAAGCCACGGCUAACUCUGUGCCAGCCGCCGCGGUAA
rnacentral:rRNA from 1 species